GCCUUCGUGGUGAAACGGUAGCACACUCGGCGCAUAUUCGAGAGGUCCAGGUUCGAGCCCCGGCAAGGCCA
rnacentral:tRNA from 1 species